UACGUAGGGGUCGAGCGUUGUCCGGAGUUACUGGGCGUAAAGCGUGCGCAGGCGGCUCAUCGCGCUCGGCGUGAAAGCCCCCGGCUCAACCGGGGAGGGUCGUCGAGGACGGGUGAGCUUGAGGGUAUCAGGGGUUGGUGGAAUUCCCGGUGUAGUGGUGAAAUGCGUAGAGAUCGGGAGGAACACCCGUGGCGAAGGCGGGCAACUGGGAUACACCUGACGCUGAGGCACGAAGGCGUGGGGAGCGAACGGG
rnacentral:rRNA from 1 species